UAGGGAAUCUUCCACAAUGGGCGCAAGCCUGAUGGAGCAACACCGCGUGAGUGAAGAAGGGUUUCGGCUCGUAAAGCUCUGUUGUUAAAGAAGAACACGUAUGAGAGUAACUGUUCAUACGUUGACGGUAUUUAACCAGAAAGUCACGGCUAACUACGUGCUAG
rnacentral:rRNA from 1 species